UACGGGGGGGGCAAGCGUUGUUCGGAAUUACUGGGCGUAAAGGGCUCGUAGGCGGCCAACUAAGUCGGACGUGAAAUCCCCAGGCUCAACCUGGGAACUGCGUCCGAUACUGGAUGGCUUGAAUCCGGGAGAGGGAUGCAGAAUUCCAGGUGUAGCGGUGAAAUGCGUAGAUAUCUGGAGGAAUACCGGUGGCGAAGGCGGCAUCCGUG
rnacentral:rRNA from 1 species